GGAGGUGGUGAUAAGCGGGAGUGUGGAGUGGCGGGAGUUCGCAGUCACUCUGAGACAGUGGUACCGAGCAGACGUCUGUCGAGUGGCUUGUGAUACUAACACGCACCCAAAAUGACGACGGCGGAUCAGCUUACCGAAGAACAGAUUGCCGAAUUUAAGGAGGCGUUCUCCCUGUUCGAUAAGGACGGUGACGGCACAAUCACUACCAAGGAAUUGGGCACAGUCAUGAGGUCGCUCGGACAGAACCCCACCGAGGCUGAACUUCAGGACAUGAUCAACGAAGUGGACGCUGAUGGCAAUGGAACGAUUGACUUCCCAGAGUUCCUGACUAUGAUGGCGCGCAAAAUGAAGGACACAGACUCUGAAGAAGAAAUCAGGGAAGCCUUCAGGGUGUUUGAUAAGGAUGGCAAUGGCUUCAUCUCUGCGGCUGAGCUUAGGCACGUGAUGACUAACCUCGGGGAGAAGCUCACUGAUGAAGAAGUUGACGAGAUGAUCAGGGAAGCAGAUAUUGAUGGUGACGGUCAGGUUAACUAUGAAGAAUUUGUGAGAAUGAUGACCUCAAAGUAGUGCUUCGUCGCCCUGUACUCCUACCUUCAACCGUGACUCCCCUUCCUAACCUUAGUUUCACCUAGUUCGUCACAAUGAUGACUUCAAAGUGAAGUGAAUGCGCCCAUUAAAUAUUGUAAACAAAUUUCAAACGAACAGUUUUUCUGCUUUCCAGUUUUAUCUUGUUAACAGAACUGCUAAAACCCAUUAUAAUAUAAACGAGUCACCAUACUAUCUCUUACUUUCUAAAAUCUUGUAUUGCCUUUUACACUAUCUGGCUCUUAAGCGCUACCGUCUCAAACUACCACCACCACCACUCUGCCGCUGCCAACACCGCCACCACCACUAUUACAUCUAUUACUUCGAGAACUAAGACUGCUGCUAUCAACACAACCACCCUGUACUGCCGACGAAGCCACUAUCACAAGUCAGUCAGUAGCAGCGAUGAUGCCAUGCCUUCGUCAGCAGGCGUGGGAGGGUGUGGAGGCGCUGAUGGGUGUGCCUGAAAGGCAGCGCCCCCCACCAGGAGAAAACGACUCGUCGCCCAUAGCGGUAGCGCAGUUAUACAUGGGUUGGUUGUUCUAGGGACGCGGUUCGGGUGGCUGGCCUUCUAUAAAACAUUAAAUAUUUAACCAUUAUAUAUAUACAGUACAUAUUACCUAGUAGAAAGUAUUUGGAUGUGGGGAGAGGGUUUCUUUGUCAGCGUCAUAGACCAUCUUAGUACUGCUGUUUUAUUCCUUUAUGGGAGAGAAGUGUUGCUGGGACACCCGAGGCCGAAAAAAGUUUUGUAAUUUACAGUGGCGUCCAUUGUGGAAAAAUUAGACCUGAAUUGACGCAGUUGGGAUGAUCAAAAAAAUGUAAAAUUGAUAUCCCUUGUGAUCCAACUACUUAGCGACGAAGGCUCGUCUCCCCCAUACCCUCAAGUGUUAAGAAUUAUAUCAUCACAUCUUUAAACACCUCGGAGGACUGCCACCCAUAUUCGUGUCUCAAGACCACUAUGCUCUUUCUCUCGUUUUUAUUAUUCUUGUUCUAAGUGAAAACGGAAAGCUAGGUUGGUCAGUUUCAAGGAACUGUCAGCAAUUAUUUUUUGUUACAUUUUUUUCUGCAAGAUGCAUUGAUGAGGAAUCUUGAGUCCCGCCUGACCUCACCUGACCCGAGGUCGGUGGUGGCCAUGUUAAGGACCCGUUUUUUUUUAAUUCCUCUUUCUUUUUAUAUUAUUGAAUGUUCGCAAGUAGCGACAAUUUUUGUAUUGUUUGUCUGAAAGUCAAUUAUACAGUAAAAAAGGAAGGAGAGGGUGCGCUGUAUUUUUGUGUUGAUUGAAUGAGAUAGAUACAUUUACGUAUCAUACUUCUUGUUAGCUGUGUCUUUGUCAAUUUUCUUAAAAGAAUAGCAAAUGUAUACAUAUUGCAAAAACAAAAAUGAACGGUUGAAAAUUUACUCUUGUACUACAUAAUACUAAUGUAAGUCACGUC